AGCUGCAGCCAUAUCACCCUGCAGCCUAAGACCGGUUACUCACUGAAGCCAAGCAGGGCUGAGCCUGGUCAGUACCUGGAUGGGAGACCACAUGGGAAAACCAGGUUGCUGUUGGAA
rnacentral:rRNA from 1 species